rnacentral:rRNA from 1 species
UACGGGGGGAGCAAGCGUUGUCCGGAUUUACUGGGCGUAAAGAGCGCGCAGGCGGUCGGAUCAGUCGAAUGUGAAAGCCCCCGGCUCAACUGGGGAGGGUCAUUCGAUACUGUCCGACUCGAAGGCAGGAGAGGGAAGCGGAAUUCCCGGUGUAGUGGUGAAAUGCGUAGAUAUCGGGAGGAACACCAGUGGCGAAGGCGGCUUUCUGGCCUGUUCUUGACGCUGAGGCGCGAAAGCUAGGGGAGCGAACGGG